GAGUGAACGCUGGCGGCGUGCUUAACACAUGCAAGUCGAACGAUGAAAGCGGGAGCUUGCUCCUGCUGGAUUAGUGGCGAACGGGUGAGUAACACGUGAGUAACCUACCCUUCUCCGGGACAUAACUCCGCGAAAGCGGUGCUAAUAUCCCAUACCAACUCAUCAAGACAUCUUCUUGAGUUGAAAGCAGCAAUGCGGUGAAGGAUGGGCAUGCGUCCCAUUAGCUGGUUGGUGAGGUAAUGGCCCACCAAGGCUACGAUGGGUAGGGGUUCUGAGAGGAAAGCCCCCCACACUGGUACUGAGACACGGACCAGACUCCUACGGGAGGCAGCAGUAAGGAAUAUUGGGCAAUGGUCGAAAGACUGACCCAGCCAUGCCGCGUGCAGGAUGAAGGCCCUAUGGGUUGUAAACUGCUUUUAGCCGGGAAUAAACACCCGUUUUAUAACGGGCCCGAAGGUACCGGCUGAAUAAGCAUCGGCUAACUCCGUG
rnacentral:rRNA from 1 species